ensembl:lncRNA
GUACCGUUACCACUCGCGGUCCCAAAGAAUCAUGACCUGAGGCCCGCUCGGCUUCGUGCGCGGGCUCCGCAAGCCGGAGCUGCGGUGGAGGCGCUGCGCCCAGCACCAGGAGCUGCGUGGGCAUGGGGUUUUCCCCACCUGGGGAAAGGGGGCCGAGUGUCUGUGGGUUUCCGGGAGUGCUCACUCACAGGGGCACUCCGUCCAGUCUCAUUCCCUUUCUUUUAGAUGCCCUUACCUCCCUACUGCCUAGCUUAAAGUGCACACAUUUAAUAUUUUUCCAUGUCUUCUCUUAGCACAUCCUUUCUCCAACUUCCAAACGUAGCUCAAAUCCUUAACGAGGCUCCAGGUUGACCGCAGUCUCGCUCUCCAAGCUUCAUCUCCUCUGGCAGAGGGUAGGCCUGUAGGUCAGUGGUUCUCAGAUUUUGGCGAGUGUCAGAUUCUCCUGGAGAGUUUGUUCAAACACAGCUGGCCCCUAUCCCCAGUUGCUGUUUCUUUAACUCCAGGGUGGAGCCUGAGAAUUUGCAUUUCUAACAAGUUCCCAGGUGAUGCUGAUGCUGCUGGUCUGGGGAACCACUUUGAAAACUACUGCUGGUGGUGUUUGUUGGCUAGAGUUCUGGCAUUGUCCUUCAAGGAUGGGCCUGCUGUACAAUUAUAGCCACUGAAGAGCCAAGCCAUGGAAGGCAGGGUCUCGGUCUAGUUUAGCACAGAAAUGCUCUUUUUAACUGUAAAUUAAAUAAACAAAUCACUUCAUCCAGUAUAGGGAAGAUACUAGGUGGGCCGUCUGAUUGAAAGAUGUUCCAGACCUUGGCCCUUGGCGUUCCUGGUACCGCCCACCAAUAGUUUGAGAGGCAAGAUGGUAGCCUCUCCUCACCAUCUGCUGUCCUGAUGUUCUGGGAACUACAAACCUCUCCAGGGGAAACCUGGUGACCAUCACCCUCAGGCAUGAUCUCGGACUCAGCUGUAAGCUGACAAAUGUUCUCUGCUCGACCGAACCCUAGCCAGGCUCCUCUGAGCUCUCUUCUCCAACAGUUGCCAACCUUGGCCUAUGAAAACUAUCCUCUCGGGCUGGCCUGGUGGCAUAGUGGUUAAGUGCGUGUGCUCCACUUUGGCGGCCUGGGGUUCACAGGUUUGGAUCCCGGGCACGGACCUAGCACCGCUUGUAAAGCCAUGCUGUGUUGGCAUCCCACAUAAAAUAGAGGAAGAUGGGCACAGAUAUUAGUUCAGAGCCAAUCUUCCUCACGAAAAACAAACAAAACAAAACACAACUAUACUCUCAACACAAAUUACUUCAUCCACUCUUCCCUCCCAAACACGCAUUAAAAGACACACAUAAUAACGUAGUUUCUAACAGCCCAAGGCCACAUCCCUAGGAUGACUCUAGCCCUCUUUAAAGUGUCUGAUAAAGCUCAAGGCUGCCAAAAGAAUUUACUGUUUGUUCUAGCCAACACCUGAUGAUAGGCCCCUGACCACCCCUUCUUAGAGCAUUUACUAAAAAGGGCUUACAAUUAUGGCUCCUUCCUCUGUCCCUUUGAGAUGUAUAUGUAUCUCAUACAACUGAGGAAUGUCUUUCCCAAGGACCUGAAAGCCAUUCCUUGGAAAUGUAAUCAUCACUAAGGAUAGGGCCUCCUCUCCCAGGCUCUGUGAGAGGAUAGCAUCCUAACUUUGAGAGUGGCCAGCUAACAGAUACAACUGGCCUAAUCAGCAUUUACACUGACCAACCUUUUGUAAUUUUUCACUUCCCUGACUCUGUUGAGCCCCUGCUCACCUCCCUACCUACUCCCUCAUUCUCCCUU